AAGAUUAUACUUUCAGUGUUCAUUCCUAUAAAGUUACCAGAAAAGUUUCUCUGAUGGAGUUGAGCGCCUGAAAUCAUGAGGAGGAGCCAGAGCAUCCUCUCCUGAACAUGAAGCCGGUUAUGUGUGUUUGCUUUUUCAACUGCCUUUUACUGGUGAUGCUCUUUCUUCUCUUCCUUUGAAAGAGGGACAGACCUAGAAGGA
rnacentral:snoRNA from 1 species